rnacentral:rRNA from 1 species
CCUACGGGGGGCAGCAGUGGGGAAUAUUGCACAAUGGGGGAAACCCUGAUGCAGCAACGCCGCGUGAGCGAUGAAGACCUUCGGGUCGUAAAGCUCUGUCCUAAGGGAAGAAUAUUGACGGUACCUUAGGAGGAAGCCCCGGCUAACUACGUGCCAGCAGCCGCGGUAAUACGUAGGGGGCUAGCGUUAUCCGGAAUUACUGGGCGUAAAGGGUGCGUAGGCGGCCCUUCAAGUCAGAGGUGAAAGGCUACGGCUCAACCGUAGUAAGCCUUUGAAACUGUAGGGCUUGAGUGCAGGAGAGGAGGGGGGAAUUCCCAGUGUAGGGGUCAAAUGAGUAGAUAUUGGGAGGGACACCAGUUGCGAAGGCGGCUCUCUGGACUGUCACUGACGCUGUGCCACGAAAGGGUGGGGAGCGAACAGGAUUAGAUACCCCUGUAGUC